rnacentral:hammerhead_ribozyme from 1 species
AUCCACCUGACGAGUCCCAAAUAGGACGAAACGCGUGUCCUGGAA